rnacentral:lncRNA from 1 species
GCCAUCCUCCCACCUAAGCCUCCCGAAGAGCUAAGACCACAGCAAGGAUCAGGCAUUGUAACAGCCUCAUGAAGUUGUGAAGAUUAAACGAAGUGACACAUGUGAAUCAUUGAGGACAAUGCUGGGCAAAUAAUGCAGAGAUUCUUUUCUGCAGCUCAGACACCAGCCAGAAGAACCUGUAAGGUGGUUGGAGCGCUUGUGAUGCUCUCUGUUUUGUGGAUUAGAAGAUGGAGGUACAGAGGCU